rnacentral:rRNA from 1 species
GCCCAACAGCUAGCCCACCUAAACAAUUUCAACAAACCCUUGUUAAUAACCCCUAAAUACCCUAGUAUUUAAAUUAAACAAACCAUUUUUCCCCCUUAGUAUAGGCGAUAGAAAAGGGACUACGGCGCAAUAGAGAAAGUACCGCAAGGGAACGCUGAAAGAGAAAUGAAAUAACCCAGUAAAGCCCAAAAAAGCAGAGAUUUAACCUCGUACCUUUUGCAUCAUGAUUUAGCGAGUGUAACCCAAGCAAAGAGCACUUUAGUUUGACGUCCCGAAACUACGUGAGCUACUCCAAGACAGCCUAUUAAUAGGGCGCACCCGUCUCUGUUGCAAAAGAGUGGGGAGAGCUUUGAGUAGAGGUGACAAACCUACCGAACCUAGUUAUAGCUGGUUGUCCAAGAAAUGAAUAGAAGUUCAGCCUCUUGGCUUCUCUUUUCACCCUAGUUUAACCCCUAUUGAUGCAUUAAAGAAACCGAGAGAGUUAGUCAAAGGGGGUACAGCCCCUUUGAAUCAAGACACAACUUUAUCAGGAGGGU